rfam:Sphingomonas wittichii RW1, complete genome.
AUGCAGCAUCAAGAGUUGGGCCGGCGCCCAACGCCAACCUGCCGAUCCGGGCAAGGUGGCGCUCCCGCGAGGGGGGAUGUGGCCGAUCCGGCAACCAAGCGGACCAAG